CACGUAGGGGCGCAAGCGUGUCCGGAAUUCAUUGGGCGUAAAGAGCUCGUAGGCGGUCUGUUACGUCUGCUGUGAAACCCGGGGACCGUUAACCCUCGGCGUGCAGUGGAUACGGGCAGACUAGAGGCAGGUAGGGGAGAAUGGAAUUCCCGGUGUAGCGGUGAAAUGCGCAGAUAUCGGGAGGAACACCGGUGACGAAGGCGGUUCUCUGGGCCUGACCUGACGCUGAGGAGCGAAAGCGUGGGGAGCGAACAGG
rnacentral:rRNA from 1 species